CAGGAUGGCCCCUGCUGCAAGGAGCUCCCAGGACAAAGCGAAUUAGCAAAUGUUCCUGUUGCUUUUUGCCACACAAAAUUAGCCAAACCGUAUAGAAGUCAGCUUGAUUUCUCCUGAACAGCACAGUAGAAAUGUUCCUUACACAGCACCCAGCCGGUGCAAGGAGAUUCUGAGGCUGAACUAAGGCAGGUGAUGGAGGACACCAACAUUCUUCAAUAACUAUCAGAAAGAAAAAUUGCUUACCCGGUCUGGGUGGCUCAAAUACAUAAACCAGAGCAGUUUCACAUCUAGCCCGUUCCAGCUCUAAUCACUCAUACCCUGAAGAAACCCAGGUCACUGGGGUUUGCCAUGUGUCAGCGGCGUAUGAUGGGAUGAUGCCGAACGUUAAUUUAAAAGCAGGCACACGCGCCGUAACCAGAGGCUGUCAGGCUGCAGGUACAAGAGUGCGGCUCCAGCUCCUGCACCACCAACACGAUCCUAAAAAUCCAUGGCAAUGAGACACUCAGAAAUUUGGAAUUCAACAGAGGAUUUGCAACGCACAUUUUGAAAACUUUCACGAUACCUUCAGAUCAAUUUUUGAAGAAGUGCCAUGAAGUGAUACCGAGACGAACUCGCCCAUCUCACCCACCGCAACAGCCAAUGAGAUACUGAUGUUGACAUGGAACCAAAAAUUUGUCACGACGCUGGGAAAGAGCAAGGAUCAGAGAAGGACUUGUUUACAAACAACACCAAGUCCCGGGGUGAAGAAAACAGAGGACAAGACAAUCGAAAGGCUUCUUUGUAACUACGACAAGCCUGUCUUUUAUCUCCUCUGUUCAGCCUGAGAAUAACGGCUGAAAUCUAACAUCUGGUGUAACUGUACAAACCUGACCUUAGGUCACAGU